GACGAACGCUGGCGGCGUGCUUAACACAUGCAAGUCGAACGGUGAAGCACCUUCCUUUUGGUGGGUGUGGAUGAGUGGCGAACGGGUGAGUAACACGUGAGUAACCUGCCCCCUUCUUCUGGAUAACCGCAUGAAAGUGUGGCUAAUACGGGAUAUUCUGUGCCUGCUGCAUGGUGGGUGUGGGAAAGAUGCGCUUUUGGGUGUUUUUGGUGGGGGAUGGGCUCGCGGCCUAUCAGCUUGUUGGUGGGGUGGUGGCCUACCAAGGCGGUGACGGGGAGCCGGCCUGAGAGGGUGUACGGUCACACUGGGACUGAGACACGGCCCAGACUCCUACGGGAGGCAGCAGUGGGGAAGAUUGCACAAUGGGCGCAAGCCUGAUGCAGCGACGCCGCGUGAGGGAUGGAGGCCUUCGGGUUGUAAACCUCUUUCGCCAGUGAAGCAGGCCUGUCCCUUGUGGGUGGGUUGACGGUAGCUGGAGAAGAAGCGCCGGCUAACUACGUG
rnacentral:rRNA from 1 species